UACGGGGGGGGCAAGCGUUGUUCGGAAUUACUGGGCGUAAAGGGCGCGUAGGCGGUUCGCUAAGUUGAAUGUGAAAACUCUGGGCUUAACCCAGAGCCUGCAUUCAAUACUGGCGGGCUAGAGUUCUGGAGAGGAUAGCGGAAUUCCUGGUGUAGCGGUGAAAUGCGUAGAUAUCAGGAGGAACACCGGUGGCGAAGGCGGCUAUCUGGACAGAGUCUGACGCUGAGGCGCGAAAGCUAGGGGAGCAAACAGG
rnacentral:rRNA from 1 species